UGCUCAUUAUAACCCUCUGUACAGGACUAUGACAGGUACUGUACUCAUUAUAACACUCUGUACAUGACUAUUACAGGUACUGUACUCAUUAUAGCAUUCUGUACAGGACUAUGACAGGUGCUUUACUCAUUAUAACGCACUGUACAGGACUAUGACAGGUACUUUACACAUUAUAACACACUACAGGACUAUGACAGGUACUUUACACAUUAUAACACACUGCAGGACUAUGACAGGUACUUUACACAUUA